rnacentral:rRNA from 1 species
GAUGAACGCUGGCGGCGUGCCUAAUACAUGCAAGUCGAGCGAACGGACGAGAAGCUUGCUUCUCUGAUGUUAGCGGCGGACGGGUGAGUAACACGUGGAUAACCUACCUAUAAGACUGGGAUAACUUCGUGAAACCGGAGCUAAUACCGGAUGAUAUUUUGAACCGCAUGGUUCAAAAGAGAAAGACGGUCUUGCUGUCACUUAUAGAUGGAUCCGCGCUGCAUUAGCUAGUUGGUAAGGUAACGGCUUACCAAGGCAACGAUGCAUAGCCGAUCUGAGAGGGUGAUCAGCCACACUGGAACUGAGACACGGUCCAGACUCCUACGGGAGGCGGCAGUAGGGAAUCUUCCGCAAUGGGCGAAAGCCUGACCGAGCAACGCCGCGUGAGUGAUGAAGGUCUUCGGAUCGUAAAACUCUGUUAUUAGGGAAGAAAAUAUGUGUAAGUAACUGUGGACAUCUUGACGGUACCUAAUCAGAAAGCCACGGCUAACUACGUG